rnacentral:rRNA from 1 species
AGUCGUACGCUUCUUUUUCCACCGGAGCUUGCUCCACCGGAAAAAGAGGAGUGGCGAACGGGUGAGUAACACGUGGGUAACCUGCCCAUCAGAAGGGGAUAACACUUGGAAACAGGUGCUAAUACCGUAUAACAAUCGAAACCGCAUGGUUUUGAUUUGAAAGGCGCUUUCGGGUGUCGCUGAUGGAUGGACCCGCGGUGCAUUAGCUAGUUGGUGAGGUAACGGCUCACCAAGGCCACGAUGCAUAGCCGACCUGAGAGGGUGAUCGGCCACAUUGGGACUGAGACACGGCCCAAACUCCUACGGGAGGCAGCGGUAGGGAAUCUUCGGCAAUGGACGAAAGUCUGACCGAGCAACGCCGCGUGAGUGAAGAAGGUUUUCGGAUCGUAAAACUCUGUUGUUAGAGAAGAACAAGGAUGAGAGUAACUGUUCAUCCCUUGACGGUAUCUAACCAGAAAGCCACGGCUAACUACGUGCCAGCAGCCGCGGUAAUACGUAGGUGGCAAGCGUUGUCCGGAUUUAUUGGGCGUAAAGCGAGCGCAGGCGGUUUCUUAAGUCUGAUGUGAAAGCCCCCGGCUCAACCGGGGAGGGUCAUUGGAAACUGGGAGACUUGAGUGCAGAAGAGGAGAGUGGAAUUCCAUGUGUAGCGGUGAAAUGCGUAGAUAUAUGGAGGAACACCAGUGGCGAA